ACGGCAGGUAAGGUGGGUGCUGGAGGCUCCAGGUGUUGCUGGUCAGGACCAAUAAGGAAAAUGAGUGUCCACGCUGGCCUGACACCACACACAGAGCCAGGGGCGUUGCAGUAGGACAGAAAUGACAGCAAAGUGUCGCUGCCAGUGUGGCAAUUGCCAGGCCUCUUGUGUUGGAGACAGAUGAUCAUGGAAAAGCCAUUGGAGAUGAAGCAGAGCACAGCGGAGGCACCUGGUCACAACACAGAUGACACCUGCUAGUACGAGGGCUUUGUUGCAGAGGGAGGGAGAACAGAAACUAUUCUCUAGUCCUGCUCUGAUCUCAUGAACAAACCAUGGAAAUUCAGUAAAUAAGAACCUUAUGGAGAGUCAAGAUGUUCCAUUCAAGAUGUUCUAUUACAUAUUUGUAGGUAAAUAUUUCCACUAUUUUUUAAAGAAAAUAAACCAAAGUACUGUUUUAAGAUC